AAAAAAACCAAAGAGAGGGCAACAUGAGAAUGAUUACUUUACACUGUGAACCUAGUAAACAAGUUAAACUGAAAAGAGAAAAAAGUGGCUUGACAAUUUGCUAAGGCCAUGAUCGCGAUCAUCAGUACCCUGGGAUCCACAGGAGACAGAAAGGAGCUGCUAAAUACUCAAAGAGAAGGCAUUUCUAAUGAGUAUUUUAAUUUUUUUUAACAUUUAUUUAUUUUUGAGAGACUGAGAGACACAGAGUGCAAGUGGGGGAGGGGCAGAGAUAGAGAGGGAGACACAGAAUCAGAAACAGGCUCCGGGCUCCGAGCUGUCAGUGCAGAGCCCGACCAGGGGCUCGAACUCAGAAACCGCGAGAUCAUGACCUGAGUAGAAGUCGGACGCUUUAGCCACUGAGCCACCCAGGCACCCUUCUAAUGAGUGUUUUAAACUCUCUUGUAAGUCACAAAAACAAGGUGUUUUUAUAACCAGUUCUAUGAGCAGUAUGACCCAUAACUAGUGUCAACAUGUUAAGUUGGUAACGUUUAGGGUCAUUAUGGCCGUAACAGUUGAUAUUUUUGAAAGCUACAGAGCUCAAGUAUAUGCAGUUUCCUCAGUCACGUUCACAGACGUGGAAUUACUGAAUCCAGCCAAAUGUGCGUGGAUCACCUUAUUACUUAUUAGCCAGGCACUUGUCCUGAACUAGCUGAUAAGAUCAAGGAUAUAAAAGAGCUGUUACUAAGUAACUUUCCAUUCCCUUUAUGACAUUUUUAGUAAAGCACAACAACUAAAGGGCAAAUAAAAGGAGGGAUGCGAGAGGCCAACUAGCUACAUAUGUUAACAUUAUUCUGCCAUAAAUGUGCGGUGCCCUGGAGUUUGUUUUACUUAACUGAGCUGUUCCCAAUAGGAAGCAUCCCUAAUGAUAUCACUGCCUCAAAUUUCACGGUUACAAAACCAGUUUGGAAGAAACAAAUCUAGGAUGAGCCUUCAAAAACCAGCCACGACUACUAGCUACUUUUCAAAAGUGUUUAUAAUAACGCGGCCAAUAGUCUCGAUGAGUUUGUGCUGCAGGUGUGGUCUGUGCCUACGCUUGCGGAUAGUACCCUGACUAGAAUGCAGAAAGAGUGGCUUUCGUGGUGUGCGACGGGGGUCGUGGGGGAACAUGUUUCAUUCCACUGAUGGGCUAUUUGAAGGCCACCAUUUUUGGAAGUCUACUGAAGGCAAGCUACGUGAUACGGAAGCUUCCUAAAGAAACCUGUGGGCAGCUGCAUCUGAUUCAGCCCUCUCUAACUCUGAGGGGAGAGAACCACCUGUUACCGUGUGCCAGCUCUCUGGGGUUAACCCUGGUCCAGCACCGUAUGCCCUGAAGCUGCCAUGCAUGGCCAGCCCGGCUGGCUGGUUGACCUUUCUUGAAAUUAGAAGGCCGUGACUCUGUUGCUGCUGAGAAAUUUGCCAGAGCAUCCUUAAUAACUAACAGCAACCAGGGUACUGAGUUCUUUCAAACAUCUGACUUUGUUCAGCCAUCCUGAAACAAACCCUGGAUCACACGUUUUGUCUUCUGUCUACAAAAUGUCGCCAAGGAGAUAAAGAGGCUUUGCUUCCAUGUUAUCCAUGCCAAUCAGAUUCAUCUCCGGGGAGUAAGCCCGAAAAUCCACUGAGAACCGGAAACUAGGCUAUAACAUCCUGUACCGAUCAUCUAGUCUCACUGGAACCCCCUAAUUACAGAUGAAGCAAUGGAGACCGAAGAGGUUAAGUAAACUUUCCUCUUGGGGUGAUGUGCCCUCAGUUAAACACCUAGAACUUGGUCCUUGAA